CAGCCAUACAUGACCACUGGAAAAAAAUAUAGCUUUUACUAGACAGACCUUUGUUGGGAAAGUAAUGUCUCUGCUUUUUAGAGACAUUGGUCUAAAGUUGGUUGAACCUGCCUUCCAAUGCAGGAGAUAUAAGAGACAUGGGUUUGAUCCCUGGGUUGGGAAGAUCCCCUGGAGUAGGACAUGGCAACCCACUCCAGUAUUCUUGCCUGGGGAAUCCCCAUGGACAGAGGAGCCUGGCGGGCUAUACUCUAUAGAGUUGCAAAGAGUCAGACACACCUGAAGCAACUUACCGUGCAUGCACCUACCAGCAAUAAAUCAGUGAUCCAGUUUCUCAGGGGUACACCUCCCACAGGAAAUAAUGACCAGUUUCUGGGAGGCCAGACUCCUGCCAGGGACAGUGGGGACACCUGGGGGCAGAUCUGGCUUUGGGAUGGGAGGCUGGCAGGAACUAAGCAUGUUCCACGAAGGCACCUGACAGGAAGCCCCAGCAGGACAGAUUGGGUGUGAGCAUGGCUUGCAGCUGCCCAGGACUCACCGUUGACAGUAACCCCAGUGUCCUAAAUCCAAGCCCCUGGCUUAACUUGGGAUGCCGAGCCCCACAUGGUACCUGUGGAGAUGAGCUCAGGAGCCUGGGAGGACAGAGCCCUGAGACAGGGUGUCAGUGGGCCCUCAAGUCUGAGGGACUGGGUCUCCUAACUCUGCCAUGGCCCAGAACUCUGUCUUAAGAACUGCCACGUGGCCCCUGUCCCUCAUGAUUGUCACGCCCCUUCCAGUGGGACAUUUGGCAUUACCCAGGAUGCUGGGUGAGUGGGAGUCAGUGGACUUCCUGCUGCAGGGUUACUUUUUCUAAUUUCUCUCCUGUCCUUCACUUACAUCACUUAAAUAAAGCUACUGGUACAGUUCUUAAUUCUCUAUGGCAACCCAAUAGCACUACUUAGAAAGGCCAGUCUCUGAGUUAACAGCUCUUCAACAAUUCAUGCUUUAGGUCAUAGAUGAUUAGCAUUGCUUAGAAAUUCUGCUUUCACAAAGACCUAAAUGUUUACAUCUCUGUGAUCUAAGCUUUUUGACCCCCAACACUGUGGCAAAGGGCUGCUGUUCUGAGUUCAAAUCGACCGCUUGCUGGCUGUGUAACUGAACCACUCAAUUAUAAGUUCUGUGCUUCCGUUUCCUCUCUGUCAGACUGUCUCUCUGCUGCAUAGUGGUUGUCAGGAUGGGGCUUAGUGCCUGGCAAGUGCUCAGUAAGGCUACCACUAUGGUGUCCACCUGACCAUUGAAGAAGCCUCACGCCCCUCCCCUCUCCAGACCCAUUCCUGGGUUCAUCAUCUUUAUUUCCUAACAACAACAGACAAGCUUUGCUCUGGGCGCUCUCUUGGUUAUCCUGAAAUGCCCUCCUCCAUUUCAUUCUGCUGCCCACAUGCCACCCGCCAGACUGUUUGUUUUGGAAGCAAGAGGGCAGCCUGGGAGUGGCAGGCUUGCCCAUGCGGUUCCUUGAAACAAAAGCUGCUCCCUGAAUCACUGCUGGGAGAAGCCAGCACAUCCAAGCAGCUACAAAGGCAUGUCAGAGGCAGAUUCCUGACCAUCUGAGCCACCAGGGAAGCCCGUCUCUACAGGCCACAGGGGAUUCAGUGACACAGCAGGAGGAGGACACCCUCUGGCCACCCCAAAGAAGUGGCUUUUCGUUGCUACUCCUGUAAAAUUGUGCUGAACUCGUUGCCUGGGUCACUCCGCAACUGGCUAGCUGAGAAGAAUCUGUCUCUGAAGCCUCAGGUCACUUUGUUCAAGUCCUUCUUUCCUCCUCCCUGAGUUGCAGAUCUUUUGUGAGAUCUGCGUAGACACCCAGUGACCAGGAGAAACCUUCCAGAGUUUUCAUAACUGUUUUUUAAAAAUAAAUUUAUUUUCUGACAUGUACACACUGCUAGAUUUGUUUAUUUAAUUUUGCCUGUGCUGGGUCUUCUUUCCUGCAUGCGGGCUUUCAGAGCAAGGACUACUCUCCAGUUCGGUGCUCUAGCUUCUUCUCACUGCGGUGACUUCUCUUGUUGCAGGUCAUGGGCCCUAGGCCCACAGCCUUCAGCAGUUGUGGCAAAUGGGCUCAGUUGCUCUGUGGCACGUGGAAUCUUCCCGGACCGGGGAUCGAACCCGUGUCCCCUGCAUUGGCUGCCGGAUUCUUAUCCACAGUGCCACCAGGGAAAGCCUUCCUUAAUGUGUGACUAGAGGAGCCAAACUUGAGAAUAAAGAAGGCAAGGCAGUGGCGAGGACAGA